rnacentral:rRNA from 1 species
UACGUAGGGGGCUAGCGUUGUCCGGAUUUAUUGGGCGUAAAGAGCGUGUAGGCGGCCAGGUAGGUCUGCUGUGAAAACUCGAGGCUCAACCUCGAGACGUCGGCGGAAACCAUCUGGCUAGAGUCCGGAAGAGGAGAGUGGAAUUCCUGGUGUAGCGGUGAAAUGCGCAGAUAUCGGGAAGAACACCCGUGGCGAAGGCGGCUCUCUGGGACGGUACUGACGCAUGAGACGCGAAAGCGUGGGGAGCGAACAGG